rnacentral:rRNA from 1 species
AUUGAACGCUGGCGGCAGGCCUAACACAUGCAAGUCGAGCGGAGCGGCGGACGGGCGAGUAAUGACUAGGAAUCUGCCUGGUAGUUGGGGAUAACGUCCGGCAACGGGCGCUAAUACCGCAUACUAUCAGACGAGCCUGGGCUGGAUUGGCUAGUUGGUGGGGUAAAGGCCUACCAAGGCGACGAUCCGUACCUGGGCUGAGAGGAGGAUCAGUCACACUGGAACUGAGACACGGUCCAGACUCCUACGGGAGGCAGCAGUGGGGAAUAUUGGACAAGGGGCGAAAGCCUGAUCCAGCCAUGCCGCGUGUGUGAAGAAGGUCUUCGGAUUGUAAAGCACUUUCAGUUGGGAGGCGUUACCAACAGAAUAAGCACCGGCUAACUUCGUGCCAGCCGCCGCGGUAAUAC